GACGAACGCUGGCGGCGUGCUUAACACAUGCCAGUCGAACGGAAAGGCCCUGCUUUUGUGGGGUGCUCGAGUGGCGAACGGGUGAGUAACACGUGAGUGACCUGCCCUUGACUUUGGGAUAACUUCAGGAAACUGGGGCUAAUACCGGAUAGGAGCUCCUGCUGCAUGGUGGGGGUUGGAAAGUUUCGGCGGUUGGGGAUGGACUCACGGCUUAUCAGCUUGUUGGUGGGGUAGUGGCUUACCAAGGCUUUGACGGGUAGCCGGCCUGAGAGGGUGACCGGCCACAUUGGGACUGAGAUACGGCCCAGACUCCUACGGGAGGCAGCAGUGGGGAAUAUUGCACAAUGGGCGGAAGCCUGAUGCAGCAACGCCGCGUGCGGGAUGACGGCCUUCGGGUUGUAAACCGCUUUCGCCUGUGACGAAGCGUGAGUGACGGUAAUGGGUAAAGAAGCACCGGCUAACUACGUG
rnacentral:rRNA from 1 species